rnacentral:lncRNA from 1 species
CUUCCCACUCCAAGAAUCCUGGCCAUCCCCCUUCACCAGCAGUGAACUUCUUAGGCUCUAAGGCUCUGACCUGGACUCCAAGAUAAAUAUUUAAUGUAGAGGGUGCCGCUGAGCUGCCGAAGGUCCCAACUUCCUGUUUCUCACAAGAGAAGGCACAGUGUGGGCAAGGGAGCUGAGGACUGGCUACCAGUCCCAUCUCUAUGGGGAUGGGGAGUCUAGUAAACAGUCUUGGAGGAUGUAGGUUGGGAGGAACGGGGAGGGUGGCAAUGGAGGGCUGAACUGCUGCAGCUCUGCUUUGUCAGUCAGGCCGGGGCUGGCUCGCCACCUCUCAGGUUGGAGCUCACUGUGUUCACAAGUAUUCGGAUGGCUUUACAAAACACGGAGGCACGAGGCGCUAGGACCGCAGGGCAGAUCAGAAGGGAGUAGCCAAGAACACACGGACUCUUCUAGAGUCCGUAACCAACCCAGCAGUGAGGAGCUGAAGCCAAGUCACCAUAGAUAUACUAGCACAGAUCUCGACUCUGUUUCAUCCCUGGGGCCAUCUCCUGAUUCCAGGUCUGGCAGUACUGCCAACUAAGCUCUAUCAAUGGGCCCACCUAUGCCAAUCACUCAUGAGAACAGGGGCAAGCAAGGGAGGGAAGUGAAAUGACCCACUUUGGGGCUCCAAGGGCCCUCUUACACACUGGUCUAUCUGGAAGUCUGAGGUUUUUUUUUGGGGGGGGGGAGGGGGUUAGUCACUGCAAAGUGAAGGAACUCUAAGGGAAGCAACAACAAUAAAAAAACACAGGGCAGGUCAA